rnacentral:rRNA from 1 species
GAUGAACGCUAGCGGGAGGCUUAACACAUGCAAGUCGAGGGGCAGCACGAGAUAGCAAUAUUUUGGUGGCGACCGGCGCACGGGUGAGUAACGCGUAUGCAACCUACCCUGUACAGGGGGAUAACCCGGAGAAAUUCGGACUAAUACCCCAUAAAGAUAUGAAGAGGCAUCUUUUUAUAUUUAAAGUUCCGGCGGUACGGGAUGGGCAUGCGUAACAUUAGCUAGUUGGCAGGGUAACGGCCUACCAAGGCUACGAUGUUUAGGGGUCCUGAGAGGGUGAUCCCCCACACUGGUACUGAGACACGGACCAGACUCCUACGGGAGGCAG